AAAUUGAAGAGUUUGAUCAUGGCUCAGAUUGAACGCUGGCGGCAGGCCUAACACAUGCAAGUCGAACGGUAACAGGAAGCAGCUUGCUGCUUUGCUGACGAGUGGCGGACGGGUGAGUAAUGUCUGGGAAACUGCCUGAUGGAGGGGGAUAACUACUGGAAACGGUGGCUAAUACCGCAUAACGUCGCAAGACCAAAGAGGGGGACCUUCGGGCCUCUUGCCAUCAGAUGUGCCCAGAUGGGAUUAGCUUGUUGGUGAGGUAACGGCUCACCAAGGCGACGAUCCCUAGCUGGUCUGAGAGGAUGACCAGCCACACUGGAACUGAGACACGGUCCAGACUCCUACGGGAGGCAGCAGUGGG
rnacentral:rRNA from 1 species